GCAACGCUGCUCCUUUCCUUAUUCUUUAUUCCUUGCUGAUGUAUGGGCCCCACUGCCAUAUCAUCGUCAUCAAUCUUCAGCCACGAACGGACACAGCUCAUGACUGCGUACGUUUUCAGUUUUUGCUUUUCAUCCCAAUUGAUUCCGGGCGUUUUACUGCACCAAUUGUUGCACCGUUUGUUGCUACUUAAGCCCCACAUCUUCCUCUCUAUUUCCCCUCAAAUGGCACAUUCUGAGAGCCCCCAGGCUGCUUGAAUUUUGCCUCGCAUGUCAGCAGUACCGUCGCGGUAAAUCAUCGAUUGUGCGACGGAGCUAUAUUCAUCUGUGAGAACGUCCACGGGGAAGUUUUCGGCGAGUUUCCGACGAGCUACUGCGCGUGAAUAAGGGAGUAGAACACACCAUCGAUCAUCAAUCUUUGUCUUCAGCUCGUCGACUACUUCACGGACGUCGAGGACCAUCGACGCGAACUCAUCCACGAACCAGAACGACACAGCGACCUGUGUGUUGCCUACAUUGUGGUUGUGUUGAUUGCAACGAGUGUUUCCGUGAAGAGUGUACCAACUAGUCCUCUCACCAAGG